rnacentral:lncRNA from 1 species
UUUUUGUGCGGCCAACUGUGUAAAUUGCUUCAAUUUGUAAUAUUUUAAGAAAAUUACAUAUGCUUUUUUAUAUUUAUACAGUGCUCCUUAGAUAUAAUGUUGUCAUUGAUAUUGCAGAUUCAGAUAUAUUGUGGGUCUGUCCAGUUACUGUUCCUUUGAAAGAGAUUCUAAGAAAAAUAUGGAUCCUCUUGCAGGAUGAUCCAUAUUAUUUUAUUCUCCUCAGGACCUUACUCAGGAGAUUUUUCAUUCAAAUAAACCAAUUUUAACAAGCAAUAUGACAAGUAGGGUUUCUUGCAACUUUCAGGAUAUUAUACGCAGUGAAAAUAAAAAGAAUGCUUACUAAGUAAAUCAAUUAAACUAAAAAAUAUGAUCUUCAAAAAAGAUUCUCUUAUUAAAAAAACAACAAAAAAAUUUGAACUUUUUAAAAUAGUGAUUAAAUAAAUUUGUUGAAUAUUUUUG